CAGUAGCCGCGGUAAUACGGAGGGUGCAAGCGUUAAUCGGAAUUACUGGGCGUAAAGCGCACGCAGGCGGUUUGUUAAGUCAGAUGUGAAAUCCCCGAGCUUAACUUGGGAACUGCAUUUGAAACUGGCAAGCUAGAGUCUUGUAGAGGGGGUAGAAUUCCAGGUGUAGCGGUGAAAUGCGUAGAGAUCUGGAGGAAUACCGGUGGCGAAGGCGGCCCCCUGGACAAAGACUGACGCUCAGGUGCGAAAGCGUGGGGAGCAAACAGGAUUAGAGACCCCAGUAGUCCCUGUCUCUUAUACC
rnacentral:rRNA from 1 species